GCAACCUACCUUAAACUGGGGGAUAGCCUUCCGAAAGGGAGAUUAAUACCGCAUAAGAUCACACGAGGGCAUCUGAGAGUGAUUAAAGAUUUAUUGGUUUAAGAUGGGCAUGCGUGCCAUUAGCUAGUUGGUAGGGUAACGGCCUACCAAGGCUACGAUGGCUAGGGGUUCUGAGAGGAUGAUCC
rnacentral:rRNA from 1 species